UGUUAUUUUCUUAAACUUAUAAAUUUCUCAUGCAUAUUCACUAACUCAUUAGGGAUGGCUGGAUUUUGUCCAUUUUCCUCUUUUUUACUUCUAUCACCCAGCUAUCUCCUACAAUCGCCCAUUAAUUUUAUUACUGAACUUGCAGCUGAUAGCUCCACUGAUUAUAGCCAGCCAAUAGCGUGUAGACUUGUUGUCUCACCACCUGUGACGUCAGCAAGUCUAUAAAAGCUUGCGCUGCCCCAAAAUCUUGGUCCUUUACCAUCUGACCCGUACAUGUACGCCGUGCCACUCUCGCCCUUAUGGCACAUCCCUGUGUGACAAAUCUAAUUCUUGUAAAUCUGUUCUCAAUAUUAAUAUACCAAUCUUUUCGGCCCUCCAAAUAUUCUCAUUUUUGCUCUCCUACAGAAACCUUUUAAUUUUCCGCCGCGUCAAGGAUUCUGAGAUGUUUUCAGUCCGUCUCAAACUCAACAAAUCCCACUGCCGUGCCAUGGGACCACAACCGAAUCCCAUAGACGUGACAUGGUGCCGAACCCUGUUCUCUGACUCUUUAGCUCAGAUCGAACCAAAAGACAUGAAGUUCCUUUUCAACAGAAAAGAAAAGAAGUUCCUGUUCCACCCGGAACAGACGAGGCGAUUUUACGGAGUUACCCUUUUCCUCGUGCAUUUGCGAAGCGAAAAAAAGACGUCUCUAAGAUCUGGUUCUGGAGAUCCUUUUACAACAUCUGUGCCACUGUCUCUCUGGUUUUUUUUUGGACUCCAUCCCUGCUGCCUCGCUUCGUGGAUCUUCUCAUCUCUCUCUCUCUCUCUAUCUCUCCAUCGCCUCCAUCUGUGAUAUUUUUGUAAACUUCAUUGUGUUGGUGCUUAAGUGGAAUUGUAGUGAUUAAGUUUGUGCUAAAACGCUUUCAAUAUGCAUACGAAUCUGACGGGGUUGCUGUCGCCUGCGCAGCAGUAAGGAUAAGGCAGAGCACAAAAACUGGGGCACAAGAUCUGAGGACCAUCUCGGUGUGAACUGACAAAUAUCAACGGAAAUACAAGUGGAUGAAUACCUCCACUUCACAUAGAGGACCGAGCAGACUAAAACUAAUCACCACCGGGCGAAAAUCUUUUAUAAUUAUAAUCCACUUUGAUUGUUUCUUUCUUUUUUUUUUCACUCGAAUUUAUUCUUGAAAUCUCGAACUUCAGAUCCUGUCUUCGGCUGAGUUGAUAAGCGAUUUUUUUUCAGGUCCAUGUCCAAUUCUUUUUUGGAAUGAUUUGCAGACCAACAUCUAAAGCUCGCGUGAACCGACCCCAUACAAUCUGCGGGGCAGGUUUUGUUAGGAAGCCUCGAGUCGAUUUGACCCGGCUUCAGCAUUUAAGGAUUUAUGAAAAUAUCACUAAAAUGACUGCAUAGACCUCGCAAAAAGUCAGGAUUGGAUCCAAAAGAGGUCAUUCUGUCUGGGAAUUUAAUAAAAUUUGGUAAUGCAAUCUCACAAAAUUAGGCUCCAAUUGUUCGGUCACGUCUGAAAAUAUUCUCAUUUCCAAUAAAAUGAUUCCUGAAUGGGACUUCCUGCUAUAGACCUCUGAUGCAUUCAAUUGAUUUGUUCCUAUCUCUUUUUUUACUUGCCUUACUGAAUACAUUGUUCUUAGCCAAACUCAA